AGCGAACGCUGGCGGCAGGCCUAACACAUGCAAGUCGAGCGCCGUAGCAAUACGGAGCGGCAGACGGGAGAGUAACACGUGGGAACGUGCCCUUCAGUUCGGAACAACCCAGGGAAACUUGGGCUAAUACCGGAUACGUCCGUAAGGAGAAAGAUUUAUCGCUGAAGGAUCGGCCCGCGUCUGAUUAGCUAGUUGGUGGGGUAAUGGCCCACCAAGGCGACGAUCAGUGGCUGGUCUGAGAGGAUGAUCAGCCUCACUGGGACUGAGACACGGCCCAGACUCCUACGGGAGGCAGCAGUGGGGAAUAUUGGACAAUGGGCGCAAGCCUGAUCCAGCCAUGCCGCGUGGGUGAUGAAGGCCCUAGGGUUGUAAGCCCUUUCGGCGGGGAAGAUAAUGACGGUACCCGCAGAAGAAGCCCCGGCUAACUUCGUGCCAGCCGCCGCAGUAACAC
rnacentral:rRNA from 1 species